UACGGGGGGGGCAAGCGUUGUUCGGAAUUACUGGGCGUAAAGGGCUCGUAGGCGGCCAACUAAGUCAGACGUGAAAUCCCUCGGCUUAACCGGGGAACUGCGUCUGAUACUGGAUGGCUGGAGGUUGGGAGAGGGAUGCGGAAUUCCAGGUGUAGCGGUGAAAUGCGUAGAGAUGUGGAGGAACACCGAUGGCGAAGGCAGCCCCCUGGGUCAAGACUGACGCUGAGGAGCGAAAGCAUGGGGAGCGAACAGG
rnacentral:rRNA from 1 species